UCAGGCCUAACACAUGCAAGUCGAGCGGAAACGAGUUAUCUGAACCUUCGGGGAACGAUAACGGCGUCGAGCGGCGGACGGGAGAGUAACGCCUAGGAAAUUGCCCUGAUGUGGGGGAUAACCAUUGGAAACGAUGGCUAAUACCGCAUGAUGCCUACGGGCCAAAGAGGGGGACCUUCGGGCCUCUCGCGUCAGGAUAUGCCUAGGUGGGAUUAGCUAGUUGGUGAGGUAAGGGCUCACCAAGGCGACGAUCCCUAGCUGGUCUGAGAGGAUGAUCAGCCACACUGGAACUGAGACACGGUCCAGACUCCUGCGGGGGGCAGCAGUGGGGAAUAUUGCACAAUGGGCGCAAGCCUGAUGCAGCCAUGCCGCGUGUGUGAAGGAGGCCUUCGGGUUGUAAAGCACUUUCAGUCGUGAGGAAGGUAGUGUAGUUAAUAGCUGCAUUAUUUGACGUUAGCGACAGAAGAAGCACCGGCUAACUCCGUGCCAGCAGCCGCGGUAAUACGGAGGGUGCGAGCGUUAAUCGGAAUUACUGGGCGUAAAGCGCAUGCAGGUGGUUUGUUAAGUCAGAUGUGAAAGCCCGGGGCUCAACCUCGGAAUAGCAUUUGAAACUGGCAGACUAGAGUACUGUAGAGGGGGGUAGAAUUUCA
rnacentral:rRNA from 1 species